AAAUCAGUUAUGGUUCACUAGAUCGUACAGUUUACAUGGAUAACUGUGGUAAUUCUAGAGCUAAUACAUGCAACCAGCCCGUGCCCUCGUGGCGCGGACGCAGUUAUUUGCCCAAGACCAAUCCGGCCCUCGGGUCGUUCAAUUGGUGACUCUGAAUAACCGAAGCAGAGCGUUUGGUCUCGUACCGGCGCCAGAUCUUUCAAGUGUCUGACUUAUCAGCUUGUUGUUAGGUUAUGUUCCUAACAAGGCUUUCACGGGUAACGGAGUGUCAGGGCCCGACACCGGAGAGGGAGCCUGAGAAACGGCUACCACAUCCAAGGAAGGCAGCAGGCGCGCAAAUUACCCACUCCCGGCACGGGGAGGUAGUGACGAAAAAUAACGAUGCGAGAGCUUUUAGCUUCUCGUAAUCGGAAUGGGUACACUUUAAAUCCUUUAACGAGGAUCUAUUGGAGGGCAAGUCUGGUGCCAGCAGCCGCGGUAAUUCCAGCUCCAAUAGCGUAUAUUAAAGUUGCUGCGGUUAAAAAGCUCGUAGUUGGAUCUGGGUAGUCGAUGGACGGUGCUUCGUAAGAAGCUACUGCCCGUUCGGCACCACAGCCCGGCCAUGUCUUGCAUGCUCUUCACUGAGUGUGCUUGGCGACCGGAACGUUUACUUUGAAAAAAUUAGAGUGCUCAAAGCAGGCGUUAAGCCUUGUAUAAUGGUGCAUGGGAUAAUGGAAUAAGAUUUUUGGCUUGUUCUGUUGGUUUUAGAGUCAGAAGU
rnacentral:rRNA from 1 species